UCGGAAGGCGUAGCCGAUGCACAGACGGUAGAGAUUCCGUCACCACCAAAAGAGUUAAGCACAGGGACACAUAUGAAGUCUCAGAGCCGGGUGUUGGUUCCGGUAGAGAUCGAGGGAAAUUAGUACCGAAGUCUGAGAUGGAAGAUGGCGAGAAAAGCUGUGUGUAUUUCUGAGGUGCCCGUACCGCAAACCGACACAGGUAGGUAGGAAGAAGAUUCUAAGGCCAACGGGAGAAGGGUUGUUAAGGAACUCGGCAAAUUGACCCCGUAACUUCGGGAGGAGGGGUGCUCCAGAGAUGGAGCCGCAGAGAAUCGGCCCAAGCAACUGUUUACCAAAAACACAGGUUUGUGCUAAAUCGAAAGAUGACGUAUACGAGCUGACGCCUGCCCGGUGCUGGAAGGUUAAGAGGAGAUGUGCAAGCAUUGAAUCGAAGCCCCAGUGAACGGCGGCCGUAACAAUAACGGUCCUAAGGUAGCGAAAUUCCUUGUCAGGUAAGUUCUGACCCGCAUGAAAGGCGUAAUGAUUUGGGCACUGUCUCAACAGCCCGCCCGGCGAAAUUGUAGUACCGGUGAAGAUGCCGGUUACCCGCGACAAGACGGAAAGACCCCAUGGAGCUUUACUGUAGCCUAAUAUUGGGUUUCGAUGUUGCAUGCACAGGAUAGAUGGGACUCUGGGAAACCAAGGCUUUGGCUUUGGCGGAGAGGCCGUUGGGAUACCAUCCUUGCGAUAUUGGAAUUCUAACCUGCGGCUCUGAAUCGAGUCGGGGGACAUUGUUAGGUGGGCAGUUUGACUGGGGCGGUCGCCUCCUAAAGAGUAACGGAGGCGUUCAAAGGUUCGCUCAGCUUGAACGGAAAUCAAGCAAAAGAGUGCAAACGCAGAAGCGAGCCUAACUGCGAGACUGACGGGUCGAGCAGUAACGAAAGUUGGAGUUAGUGAUCCGGUGGUAUGUGAGUGGAAAUGCCAUCGCUCAACGGAUAAAAGUUACCCUGGGGAUAACAGGCUGAUCUCCCCCAAGAGUCCACAUCGACGGGGAGGUUUGGCACCUCGAUGUCGGCUCAUCGCAUCCUGGGGCUGUAUUCGGUCCCAAGGGUUUGGCUGUUCGCCAAUUAAAGCGGUACGCGAGCUGGGUUCAGAACGUCGUGAGACAGUUCGGUCCCUAUCUGUCGUGGGCGCAGGAAAUUUGAUGGGAGCUGUCCCUAGUACGAGAGGACCGGGACGGACGUACCUCUGGCGCACCAGUUGUUCCGCCAGGAGCAUAGCUGGGCAACUACGUACGGAUCGGAUAAACGCUGAAAGCAUCUAAGCGUGAAGCCGACCCAAAGAUAAGAUAUCCCACUGAUUCAAUCAGGUAAGAUCCCUUGUAGACUACGAGGUUGAUAGGCACGAUGUGUAAGUGGAGCGAUCCAUUCAGCAAGUGUGUACUAAUAGAUCGAGGGCUUGACC
rnacentral:rRNA from 1 species